AAAAUUGCAACAUAAUACCGAACUAUUUUUUAUUCAUUCCGCACUGGAAAUGUGCAGUAUUCCUACGAGCUUUUGAGUAUCUGUCCUGGCAUUAGUAUCUAAAAAACAGCUAAUCUUAAUCUCACUUCUCCAAAUACAAUCAUCACUACAUAUCAUAACUUAAAACAGCAAUGACAAAAUUUACAGAUGUUAAAGAACUAAUGCUAUUAUCUGGGUUUCACCUCCAAGCAGAAAAGGUUGUCAUGGCUGUGUUGAUCCACCAAAGGUAAAGAGCACCA
rnacentral:misc_RNA from 1 species